GAGGUUACCGCUUGGCACGAGCUCCUUGAUGCCGUGGCUCUCCAUGAGCCGGACCUGGCGCAGCCCACGACGACCGUCUGUUGGCGUCUUGAGCCCUCUGGCCGCUUCUCCACGAAGUCCCUAUACCGAGCCAUUGCUCCCUCUCCUGGACCGGUUGUCCUCGAGUCUAUAUGGUCCAUCCGCGUGCCCCUCAAAAUUAGAAUCUUCAUGUGGCAAUGGAUCCGUGGCCGGCUCCCCUCUGGCGUGGAGGUGGUGAAGUGCCAGGGUCCGGGUGAUGGUAUCUGCCCCCUAUGUGGGACGGAUGAAACCUCGAAUCACAUCUUCUUCUCGUGCGUGUCCGCCCAGUUUCUAUGGGGCUGCCUCCGAGAGGCCAUCGGUGGCAACUGA
rnacentral:rRNA from 1 species